ensembl:lncRNA
GAGUUCUCCAUUCCUAGAGGACUUUUCUAAAGGAUGAUGGAGACUCUGAGAGGAAGUAUCACUUUGUCUGGGGUAGAAUGAAGUGUCUUCAAUCAUUGAGCAGGAGGGAGAAGGAUGGAGACAACACCAACUUGAAGUCACUUGAAGCCAGGCAGGAGCUGUAUGGCCCAAGUGCAAGACCAGCGGGGCUGCUUGCUCUGCAAAGGGGACAUCUCACGAUCUGGGACCAUUGGGAGGCUGGGGUUUCUCCCAUGUCUCUGUGCCUCAGCCAACAAGCCUACGAAGGGAUAAGGAGGACACAGCCCCUUCUCCAGCCCUGAUCUAUGGUGUUGUUAUUAUGUCUGUGAACUUGGGGAAGUGGAUCUGAACGUAAUGGAUAGAGUGCAGGCCGUGGGUUCAAAUCUCAGCUCUGCCACUUAAUACCUCUGUGACCCUGAUUCAGAUUCCCUCCCUCUCCAUCCCAUUGGCCCUUGAAAUCCGGACCACACCAGAGCCUGUUUCCUCUGCCCCCUCCAAGCGAGGAUCUCUGCUGGUGGCUUUCUCUCUCCUACAACUCAGAGUUGGACGAAUGAGAAGAUCUGUGAAGAUGUACUCGUUGGUUCCAGGUCACAGACAUCCUGAAGGACCAUCCAGAACUUUGGUCCAAACUCCAAGAGUGAUGGAAUAAAGCUCUGUACCCAGACCUCUCCCAGGGACUUUAUGAAGGGGCCCCAUGGUGGGCCUAGGCCACUGGGUUGGGGAAGUGGAUCUCUGUGCCAAUGGAGAUGUAUUUAUUGCUUCCAAAUUAAGCACCAAUUUAC